AACGAACGCUGGCGGCAGGCUUAACACAUGCAAGUCGAGCGCCCCGCAAGGGGAGCGGCAGACGGGUGAGUAACGCGUGGGAAUCUACCCAUCUCUACGGAAUAACGCAUGGAAACGUGUGCUAAUGCCGUAUACGUCCUUCGGGAGAACGAUUUAUCGGAGAUGGAUGAGCCCGCGUUGGAUUAGCUAGUUGGUGGGGUAAAGGCCUACCAAGGCGACGAUCCAUAGCUGGUCUGAGAGGAUGAUCAGCCACACUGGGACUGAGACACGGCCCAGACUCCUACGGGAGGCAGCAGUGGGGAAUAUUGGACAAUGGGCGCAAGCCUGAUCCAGCCAUGCCGCGUGAGUGAUGAAGGCCCUAGGGUUGUAAAGCUCUUUCACCGGUGAAGAUAAUGACGGUAACCGGAGAAGAAGCCCCGGCUAACUUCGUGCCAGCAGCCGCCGUAACAC
rnacentral:rRNA from 1 species